rnacentral:rRNA from 1 species
GAUGAACGCUGGCGGCGUGCCUAAUACAUGCAAGUCGAGCGAACGGACGAGAAGCUUGCUUUUCUGAUGUUAGCGGCGGACGAGUGAGUAACACGUGGAUAACCUACCUAUCAGACUGGGAUAACUUCGGGAAACCGGAGCUAAUACCGGAUAAUAUUUUGAACCGCAUGGUUCAAAAGUGAAAGACGGUCUUGCUGUCACUUAUAGCUGGAUCCGCGCUGCAUUAGCUAGUUGGUAAGGUAACGGCUUACCAAGGCAACGAUGCAUAGCCGACCUGAGAGGGUGAUCGGCCACACUGGAACUGAGAAACGGUACAGACUCCUACGGGAGGCAGCAGUAGGGAAUCUUACGCAAUGGGCGAAAGCCUGACGGAGCAAAGCCGCGUGAGUGAUGAAGGUCUUCGGAUCGUAAAACUCUGUUAUUAGGGAAGAACAUAUGUGUAAGUAACUGUGCACAUCUUGACGGUACCUAAUCAGAAAGCCACGGCUAACUACGUG